rnacentral:lncRNA from 1 species
UUGAAAUAUACUUGCCCAAGCGCUUUUUAGGCCAACUCAGUUCUCUUAUCCAUCAAUCCAAUGCACUGGUUCAUCUCAUGAAAGGAAAAGCCCAGGAAUCGAAUUCCCUCUGCUGCUGGAGCGUAACAAAAGAAGUUGUUGGAGGUGAUGCGAUGAUACUCACCUCAGCUUGCAAUAUUAGUUACCAGCUUCAUUCAGUGACAACCUUAGGAUAAGGAAGUCC